UAUUAAAAAUUUCAUUCAUUUCUACUAUUAAAAACUGACAUAGCUGACAGAAUAACCAAACAAUGACACAUGGUGUGCCACAAGUACCUCAUGUUGAUGUACAUGGACCAGUUUUUAAUAAUAAAAAUGGAUUAAAUUUUUAACA
rfam:Gossypium hirsutum cultivar TM-1 chromosome 10, whole genome shotgun sequence